rnacentral:rRNA from 1 species
GAUGAACGCUGGCGGCGUGCCUAAUACAUGCAAGUCGAGCGAACUGAUUAGAAGCUUGCUUCUAUGACGUUAACGGCGGACGGGUGAGUAACACGUGGGCAACCUGCCUGUAAGACUGGGAUAACUUCGGGAAACCGAAGCUAAUACCGGAUAGGAUCUUCUCCUUCAUGGGAGAUGAUUGAAAGAUGGUUUCGGCUAUCACUUACAGAUGGGCCCGCGGUGCAUUAGCUAGUUGGUGAGGUAACGGCUCACCAAGGCAACGAUGCAUAGCCGACCUGAGAGGGUGAUCGGCCAAACUGGGACUGAGACACGGCCCAGACUCCUACGGGAGGCAGCAGUAGGGAAUCUUCCGCAAUGGACGAAAGUCUGACGGAGCAACGCCGCGUGAGUGAUGAAGGCUUUCGGGUCGUAAAACUCUGUUGUUAGGGAAGAACAAGUACAAGAGUAACUGCUUGUACCUUGACGGUACCUAACCAGAAAGCCACGGCUAACUACGUGCCAGCCGCCGCAGUAACAC